AUUGAACGCUGGCGGCAGGCCUAACACAUGCAAGUCGAACGGUCACAGAAAGCAGCUUGCUGCUUUGCUGACGCGUGGCGGACGGGUGAGUAAUGUCUGGGAAACUGCCUGAUGGAGGGGGAUAACUACUGGAAACGGUAGCUAAUACCGCAUAACGUUGCAAGACCAAAGAGGGGGACCUUAGGGCCUCUUGCCAUCGGAUGUGCCCAGAUGGGAUUAGCUAGUAGGUGGGGUAACGGCUCACCUAGGCGACGAUCCCUAGCUGGUCUGAGAGGAUGACCAGCCACACUGGAACUGAGACACGGUCCAGACUCCUACGGGAGGCAGCAGUAGGGAAUAUUGCACAAUGGGCGCAAGCCUGAUGCAGCCAUGCCGCGUGUAUGAAGAAGGCCUUCGGGUUGUAAAGUACUUUCAGCGGGGAGGAAGGGAGUAAAGUUAAUACCUGUGCUCAUUGACGUUACCCGCAGAAGAAGCACCGGCUAACUCCGUG
rnacentral:rRNA from 1 species